GGCUGGUCCAAAUGCAGUGGUGUUUACAACUAAUUAAUCACAGAUUUCUUUGUCCCUUCUCCACUUCCACUGGUUCACUUGGCUAGCCUUUA
ensembl:misc_RNA Y_RNA Y RNA